rnacentral:lncRNA from 1 species
GCUUAAUCCCAGAGAUACAAUAAUAUCAGGCAUUGGACAGAGGAGCAAAGUCAGAGACAGCAGCUGAGAAGUUGAGAGCUGGCGUCAUUAGAACAGGCUGGGAAAUAUGAGUGUGAGGCAUGUCUCGGCAGGAAGGUCCAGCAUUGGCCGGGGAACAAAGCAGACUUCUUGGCAUGCCCUCUCGCUGAGGCUAUGUGAACUGCUGGGCAGGCCGGCCUGCUUAAAGAUCUCACUCCGGACAAGUAAACACCAAUACCACCAACCUGAGUAGGCCUUCCAUGAAAUACUGGGGACACUAAGAAGCCACACCCCCUGAAACAUUCUAUGGUCAUUCAGCAUUUGAAGCAAAUUGGAAAGGUGAAAAACCUGAUAAGUGGGUGCCUCAUGAGCUCACCGAAAAUUUUUUUAAAAAUUGUCGUUUUGAAGUGUCAUCUUCUCUUAUUCUAUGCAACAACAAUGAACCAUUUCUUGAUUGGAUUGUGAUGUGCGAGGAAAAGUGGAUUUUAUAUGACAACUGGCGAUGACCAGCUCAGUGGUUGGACCGAGAAGAAGCUCCAAAACACUUCCCAAAGCCAAACUUGCACCAAAAAAGGUCCUGGUCACUGCUUGGUGGGCUGCUGCUGGUCUGAUCCACUGCAGCUUUCUGAAUCCCUGGGAAACCAUUACACCUGAGAAGUAUGCUCAGCAAACCAAUGAGAUGCACCAAAAACUGCAAUGCCUGCAGCUGGCUUUGGUCAACAGGAAGGGCCCAAUUCUUCUCCACCACAAUGUCCGACUGCACAUCACAACCCACGCUUCAGAAGUUGAACAAAUUGGGCUACGAAGUUUUGCCUCAUCUCCCAUGUUCACCUGACCUCUCGCUGAGAAGUAGCUUUGGAGCUUCUUCUCGGUCCAAACACUGAGCUGGUCAUCGCCGGUUGUCAUAUAAAAUCCACUUUUCCUCGCACAUCACAAUCCAAUCAAGAAAUGGUUCAUUGUUGUUGCAUAGAAUAAGAGAAGAUGACACUUCAAAACUACCACUUCUUCAAGCAUCUCAACAACUUUUUGCAGGGAAAAUGCUUCCACAACCAGCAGGAUGCAGAAAAUGCUCUCCAAAAGUUUGUCAAAUCCUGAAGCAUGGAUUUUUAGGCUACAGGAAUAAACGUAUUUCUCACUGGCAGAAAUUUAUUGAUUGUAAUGAUUCCUUUUUUGGUUAAAGACAUGUUUGAGCCUAGUUAUAACGACUUACAAUUCACGGUCCAAAACUGCAAGUACUUUUUGCACCAGCGAGAUGUGCAUAUGAGAAGCUUAUUUCACCAAGCCUCUUAUCUAGUCAUCUGUAUAAUUAUUUCAAGCACAGGAGGGACCCUACUUCUUACUGGGGAGGAUUAAGGAAGGCUUCCUGGAGGAUUGUCUCAGAGCUUGCUGCAGGUGCAUAUUGAAAAGCAAUUCAUUACAAUUUUCUAUAAGAGACUGUGGCUGAACAAUGAUACACAGGUAUGGUCAGAACUUUGUGUAACAAUUUCUGCAUCACAUGUGUAGAAAUCUUAAGGAAAGGAAUACUCUCUCUCAGCAAGUUGAGCCCUGUAGCCAGAUACUUUGAGUAGUGUUUCCUGAAUCUUUAAAACCCACUGACUUCAAAUGGCAUGACUUCCAGAGUAUAGAGGUGGGUAUAAAGAGCAACUCAGCCCCCCACACCCUUAAAAUCACAUCUUGUCAAAAACUUGAAGACUUUCAGGACUUGUGGAUUCAUUCCUCUUUCCAUCGCCACUGCAAAAGCUCAUAGGAAAUUUUUCUCUGUACAUAAAGAAGGAAAUCAUGCUCUCACAGCUGCAUCCUGAGUAAUCACUUUUGAGAUAAAACUAUUUUUCUAGCCAUAAAAGCUAUAUUUGAAUUUCACCAGCUGCUUUCUUAAUGAUUACUAGACUAUUUUGAUAAUGGCACCAGCUUCAGGAAAGGUGGUGAUGCUACCUAACCUUGCUUUGAUAAGAAAGAUUUUUGCAUCAGGGGAGAUUACACUUAUUUAAUGUAAUCCAGAUGUCUCCUUUCUCAGUGUUCCCCAAUUCUGCCAGCCUCAUUGAUCAUUCCAACUAUUAGUAUUCAAAUAAAAAUGGCUUCCAUAUGUAAAAGGAAACUCAGGAU